GGAAUAUUGGACAAUGGGCGCAAGCCUGAUCCAGCCAUGCCGCGUGUGUGAAGAAGGCCUUCGGGUUGUAAAGCACUUUCAGCGGGGAGGAAGGGUGUUGUGUUAAUAGCACAGCAUUUUGACGUUACCCGCAGAAGAAGCACCGGAUACCUCCGUGCCAGCAGCCGCGGUAAUACGGGGGGGGCAAGCGUUGUUCGGAAUUACUGGGCGUAAAGGGCUCGUAGGCGGCCAACUAAGUCGGAUGUGAAAUCCCCAGGCUCAACCUGGGAACUGCAUCCGAUACUGGAUGGCUUGAAUCCGGGAGAGGGAUGCAGAAUUCCAGGUGUAGCGGUGAAAUGCGUAGAUAUCUGGAGGAAUACCGGUGGCGAAGGCGGCAUCCUGGACCGGCAUUGACGCUGAGGAGCGAAAGCCAGGGGAGCAAAC
rnacentral:rRNA from 1 species